UCCCCUUCCCGUCGGCUUCGCUCAAAUAGGAUUAGGGUUUUCCUUUUUCCCUUUCCUUUUCAGUGGAGUAAACGGGUAAAUUGCAUUUCCAAAAACCCGAAACUGAACAGCGCUUUUAGUCAGAUGUUUGGAAUUGGUAAAAAUGGUGCAACAAGGCAUUUGUAUUGCAUCAGACUUAAACUCUUUUGUUCCACAACAACUACAGCAAAUGCAGAGCCCAACUUAAUGUCAGAAUUUCUGGUGAAUUCACUUGGGUUCUCCACAGAAAAAGCUAUUUCUGCAAGCUCCAAGGUAACUUGCUUGAAACCCAGAAAUAACCACAAACCUGAAUUAGUUGUUAAUUUCUUCAAACAAAUCGGUUUAGACAAUGCCCAGAUCAAAAUGUUGGUCUCUCCCGCACCUAGGUUGCUGUUUGCUGACGUGGACAAAACCCUUAAACCCAAAAUUAAGGUUUUUCAAGAACUUGGCUUUUCUGGGGCCCAUUUAGUUAGGGUCCUUUCAAGAAGUGGGGCUUUUCUCAGAACAGGCCUGAAUACAGGCAUUAGACCAAGUAUUGAAUAUCUUAGGAAAUUAUUGGGAACUGAUGAUUAUGUAGCUAAGGCUAUUAAGAGAACUCCUGGAUUGCUUAGCUAUCCUCUCCAGAGAGUAAUGUCACCUAAUAUUUCAUUCCUGCAAAAUCUUGGAUGUUCGACUUUGGAUAUUCGAAAGCUUAUUCUUAGGAAUCCGAGAAUUUUUGUUCAAAAGACUGAAUGGCUUGAGGAUAUUGUGCAAAGAGUGGAAAAGGAUUUUUGCAUUUGUAGGGAUUCUCGGAUGUUUUUCUAUGGAGUGGAAAUGCUCUCGUCGCUUAGUAAGUCGAAUUUGGAAAUGAAACUUGGAAUUUUCAGGAGUUUUGGCUGGUCUGAAUCUGAUAUUAUUAUGAUGGUGCAAAGGCUUCCUUUAUGUUUGACUACGUCCGAGGUUAAGCUUAGAAAUAUAUUGAAAUUUUACAUGGAGGAGCUUGGGUACGAAUCUAGUUACAUAGCUUCUCAUCCCACGCUCUUAAUGUUCAGUUUUGAGAAGCGGGUCUUGCCAAGGAAUAAAAUCUUGGAACUUCUAAAGGAGAAGCAACUGAUAAAGAAAAUGCCAUGUUUUUAUACGGUUAUCAAGUGUUCUGAGUCGGAGUUUUUAGAAAAUUAUGUCCUGCCCUUAAGGGAUGAGAUGCCUGAGGUGUAUGAUUUUUACAUCAAAGGUCGAAACUAAGAUAGUAAGUUUAUUGUUUUCUCAUACAAGGAUUUCCUGGUUUAUGAAUACUGUUAGUUUUAAUUGUAAUUCUGGCUGCUAUUGUGUCAACAUUCAUUGAUGAAACUGGUGAUUGAGGACAUUAUCAUUCCGAAAUCAUGUAAUCCAUUUUGGUUUGAUAACAGAAAAGUGAUAACCCUUUUGCUGUUUGGAACAUCAAUGAUCUGAAGGCAUGCCUUAACGAGGGUGAUUAUUGUUUAUUAUUGAUCAUGAGGUUUUGCUCCUUAAGACACUAAUACAUAAACCAGGGGAGGUGAGCAAAUACUUCAGAAGAGAUUGUUAUAAAUCUCUUACAUUAGCCUGUUUAAGCUUUGAUCGCAGGGUAUGUUAUUACUUUAAUAAAAAAAGAACAAAAGGAAAAAAGGCACCUGAGGAAGAGUGAGAGGGAGAAAUAAGAGCAGUUACAUUAAACUAUAACAGUCGCAACAAAAUGAAAUAUAUUUUUCCUUCUUAUUGUGACGGCACUUGUUUCCAAAACAUCUUUCUUAACCUUCUGGGUUCACAGUCUUUCAUAAAACUGGAGAGCAUCUAUUAUGUUGAGAAAACUGCAAAUAUUUUAUUUCACCCCUCUCCGUCUUUUUCUUGGUUAAAUACCAUUGCGUAAACUGACACUGGAUGCACUGUUCCGUUAAGUCAUUAGUUAACUCAAAAACAGCAAAGCACUAUAUUGAUUGGAAGCUGGUGUUUGUCUGCCAUAGAUAAAAAGAGAUUAGACCUCCUCUGAUCGCAGAAAGAGUUCAUUGAACAACUUAUGUUUUAUGACAAAGAAAACUCUCCAUAUUUUAUUUUUCAAGGCCUCACUGUAGCUGCGCUUCGCUUCACCUGCACAAACAAAAGGUGAACAACUGAUUUUUAAAAUGUUUCCUUUUCAAAUAUAUAAUUUGAGAGCUGUUUAAAGUAUUUCGGUGAAUCUAUGAUAAGAUGGAAACUAUUUCUCUAAAUAUUAGGUUUGUCACUUUAUUAGUUCUUUGUUAUAUUUGGUUCAAACCCAGUACCCUAUCAUAGCUUUUUUCUCCUUGUAAGGUAAAAGAAAAAGUACUAAUAAGGAAAAAAUAUCACUAGUUACUGCAGAACUGCAACUUGAUUGACUUAAGUAUUGUAUCUCAGAUCUCCAUGUCCUCUAAUGUCAUGGCACAUAGAUCUCUGUGUAGCUUCUGCAAAGCUAGGAAAUGAUCUCGCCAUCUUUUAAUCUGCUGUAAGUUGACCCUCUGUGCUGUAGGUUCUCAAAAGACCCCUCAGGACCUUCAUUUUCUUGGGUUCUUGAUUUACUGUGUAGUGUCUUUUUGAUGGGUUUUGACACAAGAAUACUCAUGAUGGAUUGGUUUCAUCAUCUUCUUCACUUUCUGAAAAAUCUCGCUAAGAGUUUUGAAGAUGAGGUGAGGCCCAUGGCAAAGUCAUAUCUGGUUCGUUGCAUAUUUUCUUUCAACAUGUGUUGAUAUUGGUGUGCUGGAAUGACUAUAUUUUGGUUGGUCGAUUUAGAGGUGCAGAACGUCAUGGUUAUUAAUUUACAAGUUGUUAGCAACCUUUAAGGUUUGGAACUAGAUUUCUAACUGGGUAAACAAAUCACUCUUUUCCAUUCUCUCGUCCCUGUAGGCGGAGGAGAAUGCUUGUCAGCGUAGAGGAAAUACUGGUGGUAAGGUUUCUGUACUUUGUAACAUCAAGGAGAGAUAGGAACCAAGGACCGUACACAUAGCUCGAAGUAGAUUUGGUUUAAGAAUGAAAAUUAACAGCUAUUUGUUAGAAUAUAUGUUCCCCACUUGUGAGACUACACUAAGUUUGUUGUUGUUGUUGUUGUUGUUGUUGUUGUUGUUGACUUGUUGUUGUAUAUGCAGAAAAUAUGAUGUCUAAUGUUUAUUCUAAACAAUGACAUGUGAAACAGGUCACUUUGAGUUGAAAGUCGGCCAUGGUCAGGGUACUCCAUAGCCUCCAACUCUCUGCCUUCCAUGUUCCAUACUUUCCUUCUCCCAAUCUGUUCUAGUGCACGGGUUUCUGUUCCACGAGGGGUCACUCAGGGCAUUCAGUAUAGGAAGCGAGCAUAUGCUUGAAGAAGAUUGGGCUAGAAAAUCAAUGGAUAGGUGUAGGUGAAAGCUACUUAUAUUGAGUUUUCUGGAAAACGUUAACUUAGGCUUUUAAUUUGAAUUUAUGCUAUGAAAUAAUAGCAAUGUCAUCUUUCACGUUUAUGUCUGUCUUCCCUCUUUCUCACCACUCUUUUGUUCCAUCUCAAGUCAACAAGUGCCUAGAUCUUAGUAUCUGUACUUGGUGGUGAAUUUAUGUCCAUUUAUCGGUGUAGGAGUUCUGUUCUUAACAGUUUUGCAGGUUGCCUUAAGUUCUUUGACAGAUGACGACAAUCAGGUCUAUGUAACUUGCUGAGUCCUUGCUGUUGCAGUCCUACGUUCCUUUUGGUGUAUAAUUACAAGUUUACAAUGCCUUUGAUUUUGCCAUAGCGGUUUGUGUACAUUGGUGGUCAGUCGGAAAUUUUGAGGAGAAUUUAAAAGAAAUACAAGAAUGCCUCAUCGAACCAUCUUUAUCUCCAUACCAAAAGCUUUUCUUUUGUCAAGGAGAUUUAACAAUUAAAUGUAAACAAAAAAGGGGGUUUUACCCUAUUUGCGCUCUAUUAUUUUCCGACAUAGGGGAUUCAAUUAAACUUUCUUCCUUGCAUCUAAGUCUGCCCUUGGUUGUAGUGGGAAAUUGUGGUAUGGUUGUUUGAGCUUGCUUGAGUCCGAAUUGGAAGCUUGACUUGUGCCUUUUAAUUUGCAAUCUCAAUUGCUGAGGUCCUGAAGAUGGCAAAUCUGCAAAGGAUCAAUUCCAAAAAGUCAACCAAAGUCUUGUACAACUAGGUCAUCGAUGGGUGAAAUCCAUUUUUGACUUGCGCGUUAUCUAUUUUUUUAGCGGAUAAUAUGGGCUCAUAUUUGGCCCGUUUUUA